rnacentral:lncRNA from 1 species
CUGGGGAUAAUUAUUCAGCUAUGUUAUUUUAAGAUAGGCGCGGGCGUUUGGGGUUAAACAUAAUUUCGUAGGUAAAUAAUAUUAAUGUGGAACUUUUUUUCAUGAGAUUAUAAUAGAGUAUAACUUUCUUUUUGGUUGAAUUGUGAAAUAGAAGUCAAUACGUUCUUGCUCACUCCUUUGUCGCUUUGAAGGUGUCAUGAUUUUUCAUGCUCAGAAUUGCAAAU